rnacentral:rRNA from 1 species
AUUGAACGCUGGCGGCAUGCUUUACACAUGCAAGUCGAACGGUAACAGGUCUUCGGAUGCUGACGAGUGGCGAACGGGUGAGUAAUGCAUCGGAACGUGCCCAGUCGUGGGGGAUAACGCAGCGAAAGCUGUGCUAAUACCGCAUACGAUCUAUGGAUGAAAGCGGGGGACCUUAGGGCCUCGCGCGAUUGGAGCGGCCGAUGUCAGAUUAGCUAGUUGGUGGGGUAAAGGCCCACCAAGGCGACGAUCUGUAGCUGGUCUGAGAGGACGACCAGCCACACUGGACUGAGACACGGCCCAGACUCCUACGGGAGGCAGCAGUGGGGAAUUUUGGACAAGUGGGGGCAACCCUGAUCCAGCCAUGCCGCG